GAUGAACGCUGGCGGCGUGCCUAAUACAUGCAAGUCGAGCGAACGGACGAGAACCUUGCUUCUCUGAUGUUAGCGGCGGACGGGUGAGUAACACGUGGAUAACCUACCUAUAAGACUGGGAUAACUUCGGGAAACCGGAGCUAAUACCGGAUAAUAUUUUGAACCGCAUGGUUCAAAAGUGAAAGACGGCCUUGCUGUCACUUAUAGAUGGAUCCGCGCUGCAUUAGCUAGUUGGUAAGGUAACGGCUUACCAAGGCAACGAUGCAUAGCCGACCUGAGAGGGUGAUCGGCCACACUGGAACUGAGACACGGUCCAGACUCCUACGGGAGGCAGCAGUAGGGAAUCUUCCGCAAUGGGCGAAAGCCUGACGGAGCAACGCCGCGUGAGUGAUGAAGGUCUUCGGAUCGUAAAACUCUGUUAUUAGGGAAGAACAUAUGUGUAAGUAACUGUGCACAUCUUGACGGUACCUAAUCAGAAAGCCACGGCUAACUACGUGCCAGCAGCCGCGGUAAUACGUAGGUGGCAAGCGUUAUCCGGAAUUAUUGGGCGUAAAGCGCGCGUAGGCGGUUUUUUAAGUCUGAUGUGAAAGCCCACGGCUCAACCGUGGAGGGUCAUUGGAAACUGGAAAACUUGAGUGCAGAAGAGGAAAGUGGAAUUCCAUGUGUAGCGGUGAAAUGCGCAGAGAUAUGGAGGAACACCAGUGGCGAAGGCGACUUUCUGGUCUGUAACUGACGCUGAUGUGCGAAAGCGUGGGGAUCAAACAGGAUUAGAUACCCUGGUAGUCCACGCCGUAAACGAUGAGUGCUAAGUGUUAGGGGGUUUCCGCCCCUUAGUGCUGCAGCUAACGCAUUAAGCACUCCGCCUGGGGAGUACGACCGCAAGGUUGAAACUCAAAGGAAUUGACGGGGACCCGCACAAGCGGUGGAGCAUGUGGUUUAAUUCGAAGCAACGCGAAGAACCUUACCAAAUCUUGACAUCCUUUGACAACUCUAGAGAUAGAGCCUUCCCCUUCGGGGGACAAAGUGACAGGUGGUGCAUGGUUGUCGUCAGCUCGUGUCGUGAGAUGUUGGGUUAAGUCCCGCAACGAGCGCAACCCUUAAGCUUAGUUGCCAUCAUUAAGUUGGGCACUCUAAGUUGACUGCCGGUGACAAACCGGAGGAAGGUGGGGAUGACGUCAAAUCAUCAUGCCCCUUAUGAUUUGGGCUACACACGUGCUACAAUGGACAAUACAAAGGGCAGCGAAACCGCGAGGUCAAGCAAAUCCCAUAAAGUUGUUCUCAGUUCGGAUUGUAGUCUGCAACUCGACUACAUGAAGCUGGAAUCGCUAGUAAUCGUAGAUCAGCAUGCUACGGUGAAUACGUUCCCGGGUCU
rnacentral:rRNA from 1 species